rnacentral:lncRNA from 1 species
UAGUCAUAGAGUAAACAUGAAUAAACAUGAUAUUUAAGAUAGUGGACACACAUUGGAUCAACCUCAAGGUCAAAAUAAAAGAGAAAUAAUAAAUAAAGAAUAAAGAAAUAAAUCUACUUGAGCAGGCAUGGGUCACAUAUAACUAUGCAUAGAACUGUUAGCGGAUCAUCUAAUUAGCAAUAAAUAGAGUUAGAACAAAGCCUGAGAUGAAGGGAGAUCCCCGCAGCUGGAUACCCAGCCAAUAGAGACUUUACAGAACUCCUAUCGGAAUACCUGUUCGUGGGGCAAUGCAAAGGAUGACAGAGCUGUCACUACCCUACCACCUACCCCUCUACCGGAAAGAUACACGCACAUCCACUGAUUCCUGCAUACCUGAACACCAUGUUCACAUAAUUGAAAACAACUCCUAACCCCCGCAGGCCCCACCC